rnacentral:SRP_RNA from 1 species
GCUGGGCAUAGUGGCGUGUGCCUGUAGUCCCAGCUACUCGGGAGGCUGAGGCAGGAGAAUCGCUUGAACCCAGGAGGUGGAGGUUGCAGCGAGCCGAUAUCAUGCCACUGCACUCCACCCUGGGUGACAGAGUGAGACUCGGUCUCAG